rnacentral:misc_RNA from 1 species
AACGCACAUUGCGCCCGCCAGUAUUCUGGCGGGCAUGCCUGUCCGAGCGUCAUUUCAACCCUCGAACCCCUCCGGGGGUCCGGCGUUGGGGAUCGGGAACCCCUAAGACGGGAUCCCGGCCCCGAAAUACAGUGGCGGUCUCGCCGCAGCCUCUCAUGCGCAGUAGUUUGCACAACUCGCACCGGGAGCGCGGCGCGUCCACGUCCGUAAAACACCCAACUUCUGAAAUGUUGACCUCGGAUCAGGUAGGAAUACCCGCUGAACUUAA